CCGGGCAGCGUGGGGGCAGAGGCUGGCCCUCCUGAUCUGCACCCAGGCGGCUUCUACACCACCCUGCAGCAGGCCUGGCCACCGGCCUCAGCGCUUCUGGGAGAAGGUCAGCCAGGUGGAAGAUGGAGAGGGCUUCUGGACUGAGCCCUGGAGGGGGGCUAGGGGCCACCAGCAGGCAGAUGAGCCCUGGGACCCAGCUGGCCAACCCACCUGACCACGGUGACAAGGACUGCUUGGGAAGGAUAAGCCCAGGUUCGGGAAAGCAAAUUCAGGCUGCAGGACAGCUGCCCGGGCCCCCCACAAGCCUGGCACCAGCCCAGGGAAGACUGAGGAGCCUCACUCCAUGGGGACUGAGCUCCUUCCCUUGCGUUCUGUUCCACACACUUUUUGGGCUGGAAGAAUCCCCUGGCUAGAGAAGCUCAUGUCCUGGUGGUGGAAGAGAUGCCGCCCUACAGCCCAAGGCCUUAUGCAAAGCAGCAAACACCUGAACACAGCGAACCUGAAGGUAUAGGGCAUCUUCAGGCUGCUACUGAGGCGGUCCUGCCGCACUCAACCCAGAACCUCAUCACUAAAAGGAACCUCAUGGUUCAGGCUAGAGUGCAGUGGCGCGAUCUCGGCUCACUGAAACCUCCGCCUCCCAGGUUCAAGCAAUUCUCCUGCUUCAGCCUCCCAAGUAGCUAGGAGUACAGGGUGUCCCAAAAGCAGCAGCCGCGAGUAGAAUUUGCCUUGGGUCAUUGCUGUAGUCUCCCGCAUCCAGGAAAGAUCUAGGCCGCUCGCUUUCCACAAACCUUCUGGCUGAAACAAGCCACUUACCUGGCUGCAGUGAAGACACUGAUGCCGCUACUGAAGCUGGAGUCACAGGAACCAUCUGGACCUCCUGGGAGAGGAAGAGGAACAAGGGGUCAUGAAAGGCUGUUGGCUCUCUUGAAUAAACAAGACCCCUGUGACAAGCACACACAGAACUCUCCAGAGCCCCAUACCUUGAUUCAGGCUCUUCAAAAGGACCAUGGCUCUGGAGCCCUGAGGACCCAACCAACGCCCAGUCAUUCUCGAUAGUCCCCAAGCUUGUAAGUCUGUAGUCACAGUGAUCUCACAAGGAGGGGACACCAGUGCUAAACACAUCUGUCAAAUCUCAGAAGGGAUCACUGGCCUGAGGGGAAUGGAUGUUUAAAAUGACAGAUAAUACCCAGCAUCCUUAGCUAUCAGGAAAAUGCAAAUCCAAACCACAAGAUACUACUGUACACCCAUCAGGAUGGCUAAAAUAAAAGACAAAUAAUAGCAAGUGUUGAUGAGAAUGUGGAGAAACUGGAACCCUCGUACAUUGCUGGUGGGAAUGUAAAAUGGUGCAAGCUGCUUUGGAGAACAGUCUGGCCAUUCCUCCAAAGGCUAAACAUAGUCACCACAUGACUCAGCAGCUCCACUCCUAGGUAUAUGCCAAAGAGAAAUGAAAACUUAUGGCCACAUGAAACCUUGUAUAUCAAUCAUGUUCACAUCAGCAUUAUCUACAAUAGCCAAAAAGCAGAAGCAACCCAAAUAUCUAUCAACAGAUGAAUGGAUAAAUGAGGUGUGGUAUAGCCAUACAAUGGACUAUUAUUUGGCAAUAAAAAGGGAUGAAGUACUGAUGCACGCCAUAAAAAUGAACUUUAAAAACAUUGUGUUAAGUGAAAGAAGCCAGUCAUAAAAGACUACAUAUUGUAUCCCUUUCUCGAAAGUGUUUAGAACAGGCAAACCUAUGGAGACGGAAAAUGGACUGGAGGUUGCCUAGGACUGGAGGAGACGGGGGAAUAGGGUAUAAUGGCUAAUGGAUUCUUUCAAGGGCACGGAAAAUAUUCUAAAAUUGAUUGUGGUGAUGGUUACAUAACCCUGUGAAUCUACAAAGUCACUGAAUUGUACACUUGAUGUUGGGUGAAUUGUGUGGUACAUGAAUUCUAUCUCAAUAAAGGGCUUAAAAAAUG
rnacentral:lncRNA from 1 species